CUUCUCUGAUCUGACAUUUUCGUAGUUACCAAGUUCCCUCAGAUGAAGGAAGGGAGAACCCUAAUCUGAAGAGGGGAGGUCUGAAGUGGACAGGAACAGUAUCAAGGAGACCACAGGAGGCAAAACAUUAAAAGUUGAAGAAACAGCAUAAAUAACAGAAGACUGAAACUAAGCUGAUUGGAUCAAGGACAGACACCUGACCAAGGACAGUCACGCUGUGCUUUAUGUCCCGGCAGAAAAAGGCUCUGGUGAGGAUCAAAUUUUUUUUUAAUUUGGGUAAUUAAAUAAAUGAGCUGAACGGAAGUGUGAAUCAGUAACUCUUUGUAGCCUUAAAUGAAGUACAGCGGGAAAAGGAACACAGGAACUCAAGCUUGCCCUGGGCUGCCUGGUGGGAAACAGACCCGGAUCUGCAAAGGUGUUAGGUAUCUGUGCAGAGGAAGCCGUCUCUGCCCCUGAUUUCGGCCCUCAGAGCCCUCAAUGACAGCAGUAGAGUCUUCUACUAAGCUAUGUUUCUAAGGAUAAGGUUGGGAUCCUGACAGUGAAUAAGGUUAUCCUGCAGGAUGGGGAGCUGAGAAUUCUUGGCACUCGAGCCUCUCUGAGGCAGUUACCAAUGCAAGCUCCCUCCCACACGUGAGGAGACAUCCCUUUUUAAGUCCAUCCUGUGACCAAAGCUUGGAAUGCAGCGCUGGCUUUUGGAAAUAAGCAAAGGCAGAUUAAGGAAGAAAGAUCCUUUACUGUGAGUUCUGACUGAUAUUUCCCUUCAGGGCCU
rnacentral:lncRNA from 10 species